UCCUUGCUGGCUCAGAUGGUAAAGAAUCAGUCUGCAAUGUAGGAGACCCAGGUUCGAUCCCUGGGUUGGGAA
rnacentral:tRNA from 1 species